AGAGAGAGAGAGAGAGAGAGAGAUGAGAGAGAGGCUCUCACAGAGAAACAGACAGUAAGACAAGGAGAGAGUUGUGUUGUCUCCAUUUAACCAGAAUUACUCUCGCUGUUUCCUCCCGUCUUGUUGCCGGGGCAACCGGCCAGCUUCAUUACCGGAGGUGUGACCUCGGAGUGUAAAUGAGAAAAAAUAAAAAAAAUGAAAUAAAGAAAGGCUCACUUUCACGGCCCUGCCGGCUGCCAUCCUGUAAAGUCUUUCUUGCUGUCUAUGUUUUAGCUCCACCCCCAAAAAAAGUGAGUGACACGUUUCCUCUGUGAGUCACGAGGAGUUCAAUGCCGAGGACGGAGCGUGUGAUGCAACGUAGAAACACUAAACAGAGAGUAAUCCAAGAGUAAAGACGGAGUGGGGAUGAAUUCAACUGCACAUUUAAGUGUUUAUUUUACUACUCUGUCUAUUUGCGUCGGUAGUUUUCUCCUAAAUUCACCAAAAGUGACCAUUAGAAAAUGGCUGUAAUACAGAAAAUAAAAGUGGAAGUCCAGGUCGUAAUAAUAGAACGAGCUUCAUUUUCUAUGUACGUUGUUAAAACAACAAUGGGGAAGUCUAAGGUCAGAGAGUCCUCACCGCCAGCGUCCAGUUUACAUUUCCAAUCACAAGACGAGAGAAGAUAAACACACUUAGUCACACACACACACACACACACUCCCACACAAUAACAUGUUCAAAUGGAGAAAGUGGAGAGAGAGAGAGAGAGAAAAAAAACAAAAAGCAGGUGAAGAGGAAGAAUUGUAUGUUCUGUUGCCGUGGCGACCACGGCUUGGUACGACGGAUGCAAGCUGUGCCCUUGACAGCAUCACAUGUAGCUGGAACACACACGCACACACACACACACAGAAGGGCAGAAUGAUGAUCACGUGUAUUGACUAACAGCUGUGUCCAAA